CUGGGAAGUAGAACUUUUCCUGCCUGAACUCACUUCUGAAACACUUGGAGACAGAGCCACAUCCUGUGUAAACUUGGUGCUAGAGUUCUCAUAGGGUUCGCCAGGAUGUGACUGGAGCCCAUUGUUCUGUGCGCAUUUGAUUUACAAUGCACUCACACUUGAACCCACAUUUCCAAGAGCCAUGACCUCAAAUCAGUGGAAUUACCUCCUAGGAUGGAAGCCCAGAAGGUUUCCAGGAGUCACAAGGCCACAAUUCUGUAAUUAAGCUCACUUAUCUCAGGGACUUACGGAUGGACUUUUCCACCUUUUCCUUGAUGGAGUAGAUCAUGAUUUUCUCAGCAGAGUCCAUGCUCCUUUUCCAGAUAUUCUUCAGCAACAACGGAUAUCGAGUGAGCCUCUGUAGUGGGGCCACUAGCAGCUCUGGCACGUGGAGCCGUCUGCAUUGUUCAUUCUGCUCACACCACUGGGGAAGGCAAAAGCAGCCAUAUCAGAAUGAUCACCUCUCCCACUGAGCCACUAAGAAGCCUGGAUAUGAGAGGUUCUUGGAGAUUUUACUCAGUAACUGCAGGACCUACUUGUUAAAUCCUUUGCCUUGUGACCCAGACCCUUCAGGGCCAUCCUCAGGUGGGCCAGGCACACUGCAGGAGACUCCUGCUGCAUCCCCAGAGAUGUCUUCAAGCCCACGUGUCAGUCCUUGCAUUUUGAAGAUCUAGGUACAAUUAGCUCAACCCCCCA
rnacentral:lncRNA from 1 species